ensembl:lncRNA
UCCGGACAGAGCAAAAAAAACAAGGCAUCAGUAUUGUUGAGUAUUAGCUUGUACCUGGUUCGGAGGCAAAGGUAAUGCAUGGAGACGCAAUGUCACUUAUACAAGAUGUUGAUGGAAUUUACUAUAUAAAAAUCUUCCUCCUAGAGUAAAGAGUAUCAACAUUACAACUCGACAGACGGCGGCGGGAUAAGUAAAACAGACAAAAGACAAACAAGAUAGUAAUCUGUUUCCAAUCACUUAAGCCCUGUAGAGUUAGUAAUAUGCGGUUUGCAUAUUCCCCCUUGAGUUCGGUAAUUAAUUACCGGCGAGGAGGCGCACAUCCACCCGGGGUGGGCGUUUCGAGGUGCGCUGAGCUGGGAUUGCGGGGAGGCGCCUUUCCCGACUUUUCCAGCCUAGGACAUGGGGCAGCGGCCGGACUGGGGACUCUUCUGAGCGUUUGGAACCGACCUUCCCUCAGGUUGUAGAACACUUCCCUGCUCCUCACCGGAAACUCUCCAUCCUGGGGAGAUUCUGCAGCCAAGCAGAAACGGGGCUUUUCUGGCAACCAGAGCAUCUCCCUUCGCUCAUCUGAGGACAACCGCUUGCUUUGAAUGGACUGAAGUGGCCUGCUUUCUCGGGGACCGCGCGCUCUGGGGGAACCCGGGAAGGGCGUCCCUCGUCGUCUUCUCCCCGCGGUCUCUGGGGCGGCCCAGCCUGUCCUCUCCCGACUUCCAUCAUUACCGCCCCCCACCCAACACGCACACUCCACCCCCACCCCCCCACCCCGAGCCAGCGCGGCUUUAACAUUAAACAAACGCAGCGAGCGCCUCAGAGCUGCGCUCUCGGCCGGGUCUGCGCGGCGGCGGCGUUACAAAUUGUAAAUUUAAAUUGCUCGCCGGAUUCAUUACCUCCCCUCUUUGAUUUCAGCCAGCCGUGAAAAAUUAUACUGGUGUACCACUGAGAAACUGUUUUGCCGCAAAGAGCCCGCGCCUAAUCACUGGCUUUCUCCCUCCGACAAAAGUGUAAUUAUUUUGUUUGGGGUGUAAAUAUAGGCCGCGCUGCGCACACACACUCAGCGUCCCGCCGCGCCGCCGCUCACUGCCCGCCGCCGCGAGGAAUCGGCCCCCGAGUAAGAGCAGGCGUGGAGGCUGGGCCCUGCCGCCCGGAGCCUGGAGAAGAGCGGCCGGUUUGGCGCUCCUCCGGGAAGACCCAGAGAGCCGAAUCGGCAGGUCCAGUCGCCAGCCCCUGCCCUCUAGAGUUCGGGUUUG